rnacentral:lncRNA from 1 species
UUUUUUUUUUGGUCUUUUUAGGGCCACACCCACAGUAUAUGAAGGGGCCUAGGCUAGGGAUCCAAUCAGAGCUGUAGCCCCCAACCUCCGGGGCAGCCACAGCAAUGCAGGAUCCAAGCCAUGUCUGCAACCUACACCACAGCUCACGGCAAUGCAAGAUCCUUAACCCACUGAGCAAGGCCAGGGAUCAAACCCACGUCCUCAUGGAUGCUAGUCAGGUUCACUAACCACUGAGCCACGAUGGAAACUCUGAGGUUGUGCAAUUUUUUUAAGUCGACACCAUCAUCAUUUUAAGACACACACACAUACACACACACACACACAUUAAUGUAUCUAGAGAAAUUAUUAGGGCUUAACAAAUCAUACUGUGCAGUCUAGAAAAAGAUCUAGUGUUACUCAACCCAUAUAAUGUAGAUCUUACAGUCUAAAACAGAACAUCCAAACACUGGUGUAAACAAUAUUUUCAAAAUUGAACUAUCAUUAUAAUAUAUGAAUUUCAAUGCAGCUGUCAGUACUUUCUUGCUUAAAGAUGAUCAAUUAUAUUUUUCAUUUAUAAGACUUUUAUGAUUUAGCCAUUUCAGAGACUUACAUUCAGCACCAAUAUUACUUUCAUUGCUUGUAUUUUUAAAGCUAUACUAUGUUACGUGAUAGUCACAAAUACAGUGAUUAGAUGAGACUUUUAAAAAUUAUUCCCGCUUUACAGAUGAGAAAACCAAGGCUUAGAGAUAUCAUACUAUUAUAUACCAAGCUAUAAUUUAUCUAAUAUGAAGAUAAGCUUUAUUUACCAUUUGGUCUUAUUCCACUUGAGACUGGAGGACAUUAAUCAUACUUUUUCAGAAUUACAAAUAUGUAUCUAUCUUUUUUUUUUUAGAAUUAUUUUUCAGGGUAGUGGAAAGAGAACCAUAGUUUGAAGAUGACAAUCAUAAUCACAAUGAUUAAUCAUGACUGACAUUUUGAGUGCUGUUGUCAUUGUCUUAAAAUAUAACUGCAUCAACAAGAUUUCCUGUAGUUUAAUUUCUGCUGUUGAAGGGAAAUACCCUCAUUUGUAUUUCCUGCAGACAAAAGCUUUCAGAAGGCUGCCUGUAGAUCCCAACCUCUAGGCACAGUAGUGCCCUAUCUGGGACUUUUAUGCAAAUGACUCAUUGUACUCAACCAAAAUUACAAAUUAAUUAUAAGUCACAUAAACAGGGAUCAUCUUAGUCAUCACAGAAGUUUAGCUGCCUCUGGUCUGAAACACGACAGCUGUUUAAUCACAAAUAUUGUGCUCCUCAGUAGUGCAGGAUGGUGUGAAAAUGGUCUGAUUCAUACAUGCUGCCUUUAACUGUGGCUGCAUAAAUAUCAAAACAAUGUGCCUUGGAGUUCCCAUUGUGGUGCAGUGGUUAAUGAAUCUGACUAGGAACCAUGAGAUUGCGGGUUCGAUCCCUGCCCUUGCUCAGUGGAUUAACGAUCCGGCAUUGCCGUGAGCUGUGGUGUAGGUCACAGAUGUGGCUCAGAUCCCAUGUUGCUGUGGCCCUGGUGUAAACCGGCAGCUACAGCUCCUAUUGGACUGCUAGCCUGGGAACCUCCAUGUGCCGUGGGAGUGGCCCUAGAAAAGGCAAAAAGACAAAAAGACAAAAAAAACCCAAUGUAAACAUUAUUAGAGACAACCCUAAAGAAGAUUAAGAAGUAGUAAGGUAAUGAAUUAAUGAACUGAUAUCCAAGGGGAGAUUAAAAGUCAAAAUGCAGUGGACUCAAAGGCAGAAGUAAAAUAUAGGCUCCAGGCCAAAGACUACAUGACUCCAUUAGUUACAUGAUCUGUGUCAAGUCACUUGUACACUACGAUGCUCAACAUUCCAAUCCAGCAAAGUAUUAAUACUACGCUAUCUCUCACAUCACUUCAUGACUAGAGUUCUCUUGUAUAAUUUUUUUGUUUGUUUGUUCUUUAGGGCUGCACCUGCAGCGUAUGGAGGUUCCAUAGGGGUUGAAUCGGAGCUGUAGCCUCUGGCUUACACCAUAGCCACAGCAAUGCCAGAUUUCAGCCACAACUGCAAUCUACACAGCUCAUGGCAAUAUUGGAUUCUUAACCCACUGAAUGAGGCCAGGGAUCGAACCCACAGCCUCAUGGAUCCUCAUCAGAUUCGUUUCUGCUGAGCCGUGAUGGGAACUCAUGUUCUAUAAUAUUUUUAAAUCAAAUGUUGUUUUAAAGAAUGAAGUUAAAACAAGGCAGAGGUAAAUGGAUAUACACGAUGCCUCCACAAACCCAAAAAAUUCCUGCCAUCUAUUACAUGAAUUAUCUAUCCAUGUAUUUGUCAUUAUUCCACAUCUUAGAAGAUGAUAAGGUCAUUCCCAGUUGUUUUAUAUGAUUGCUAAAUUGGUCAGCCAUUCAGGAGUAAAAAGUGUGUUAUGUUACAUGGUUAACCAAAAUUUUAAGAUGGUCACUCUGAGACUUGAACAUUUUUAAAUAGAGUAAGCACUAAAUAAACAAGAUUUUCACUUUCACCAAACAAAAACUAUCUUUUAAAAGCCAAUAUAGGAGCAGAACCCUAACUGGGUCUUUCAAGAAAAGAUGCUGUUACUUAGGCUUAGGAAAUUUAAAAAUUAUUAACAAUACUUCCAGCUUCUACUUUCUUUUGUGAUAGUUACAAACAGAUUGCACUUACUCAAAAAAAAAAAGGCAAUUAAUUGGCUUCUUUCUAUAUUGUAUUAAAGCAAAAGUUGCACUAAACAAUAUUAAACAGGAGAGAAAGACUUUAAUCAAAGCUAUAGCAAGAGAGAAGAAAGUUCCAAUCUUCGUCUGAAUUAAACUCCUCUGAAAUAAAGGGCAGGCAAGGUUUAUGGAGGUAGAGUGGAAAGUUUUUAGACGCAUCUGUUUGCUAAUUGGCUUUACCCAAAGGAAAAGUCAACUUUCUCCUAUAUUAA